rnacentral:rRNA from 1 species
UACGGGGGGAGCAAGCGUUGUGCGGAUUUACUGGGCGUAAAGGGCGCGUAGGCGGCCACCGCAAGUCAGUUGUGAAAGCUCUGGGCUUAACCCAGAAAGGUCAACUGAUACUGCGGGGCUAGAGUGCAGAAGGGGCAACUGGAAUUCUCGGUGUAGCGGUGAAAUACUUAGAUAUGUCAUAGAACACCGAUUGCGAAGGCAGCUAACGAAACUAUAACUGACGCUGAGGCACGAAAGUGCGGGGAUCAAACAGG